rnacentral:rRNA from 1 species
UACGAAGGGUGCAAGCGUUAAUCGGAAUUACUGGGCGUAAAGGGUGCGUAGGCGGUUGUUUAAGUCUGCCGUGAAAUCCCCGGGCUCAACCUGGGAAUGGCGGUGGAUACUGGGCAGCUAGAGUGUGUCAGAGGAUGGUGGAAUUCCCGGUGUAGCGGUGAAAUGCGUAGAGAUCGGGAGGAACACCAGUGGCGAAGGCGGCUUCCUGGACCGGUUCUGACACUGAGGAGCGAAAGCGUGGGGAGCGAUCCGG